CAGAGAUUGAGUUAAUACUUCGUUGAUGAAAACAAUCAAACUGUAAAAUAUUUGAAGACAUUUAUUUUGAGACAAAUAUGAGUGACCAAUGGCCCAAGGUACAGUCUCAAGAGGUCCUAAGAACAUGUACCUAUGAUGGUCGGGCUACAGCUUGGGUUUAUACAAUUUAGGGAGACAUAAGACACCAAUCAAGACAUGUAAGAUGAACAUUGGUUCUGUGGGAAAGGCAGGACAAUUCCAAGCGGGGAUGUUCCAAGUCAUAGGUGAACUCAAGGAUCUUCUAAUGGGCAACUGGCUGAAAGUUAUUGUCUAAAGACCUAUAAUCAAUAGAAAGGAAUGUCUGGGAUGACUAAGGGGUUGUGGAGACCAGGGUUCCCAUUAUGCAGAUGGAGCCUCCAGGCAGCCGGCUUCAGAAAGAACAGACUGCAAAUAUUUCUUAUCAGACUUUAAAAAGUGCCAGACGCCCAGUUGAUUCUCUCCUGGAUCAGGAAAAAGGCCUGGAAAGGGAAGGGGAUUCUCUACCAAGUGUAGAUUUUCCCCACGAGAAGACAGCUUGGUAGGGUUAUUUCAAGAUAUGGCAAAAAAACAUAUUUGGGGUGGAAAUAUUUUCGUUUCCUUCUUUAUCUGCCAUGUGAUGUUAUGCCAGAGCCUGGUUGAAAAGUCAGCCAGGUUAUAUAAAGUUAAAUAAAACCUGUCUGAUGAGGCUUUAUGGUUUGAAGGGGGUGACUCUCCAGGCCCCUUAGAUAGUAAUUUGGGCAAAAGAAGAAAACAGUCAGAGUUUAGUCCUCAACUUUGCAGACCAGGGUCAUGGUGACAUCAAUCAGAAGUAGCCUUGCCCUUCUGUGGGUCCUAAACUUCCUGAGCAGAAGACCUAGGGGCUGAACUCCUUCCAAUGCUGCAGGACUCGAUGAAGAUGUCUUUGCCUGCCUUUUCCUCCUGCUGCUCUGGCUCAGCUGCAGGUUUCCAGACUGAAGAGUCUGUAUUUUCCACCUCAGCACUACUCCAUCGGGCCCCCUGUGAGUUUGCUUUUGUCUGGUCCUGCAAAACUCACAUGUGUUGAGGAACACCAAUAUGGCUGCCUGCACGUGGAAUUCCCUGUCCAUACGCGUCAUGAAUUCAUAGAUACUCAAUAUCAUUUUUCCCUGACAUUUUCCAGGAUAAUUUAAAAAUUUUUUAUGUUUAAAGACAUGCAAAAUUAGAGAAAAUGAGCCUCCAUGUGCAUUCUUUUGUUUCUUUCUUUUUUUUUUUUGAGAUGGAGUCUUACUCUGUCGCCAGGCUGGAGUGCAGUGGUGCAAUCUAGGCUCACUGCAACCUCCGCCUCCUAGGUUCAAGCGAUUCCUCUGCCUCAGCCUCCCGAGUAGCUGGGACUACAGGCGCGCACCACCACGCUCGGGUAAUUUUUUAUUUUUUUUUGUAUUUUAGUAGAGACAGGGUUUCACCAUGUUGGCCAGGAUGGUCUUGAUCUCCUGACCUCAUGAUCUGCCCGCCUCGCCCUCCCAAAGUGCUGGGAUUACAGGUGUGAGCCACCGUGCCCGGCUGUUUCUUUACUUCUCUAAUAAACUUGCUUUCUCUU
rnacentral:lncRNA from 10 species